UACGUAGGUGACAAGCGUUGUCCGGAUUUACUGGGCGUAAAGGGCGCGUAGGCGGCCUUCUAAGUCAGACGUGAAAUCCCCCGGCUUAACCUGGGAACUGCGUCUGAUACUGGAGGGCUUGAGUGCGGGAGAGGGAUGUGGAAUUCCAGGUGUAGCGGUGAAAUGCGUAGAUAUCUGGAGGAACACCGGUGGCGAAGGCGGCAUCCUGGACCGACACUGACGCUGAGGCGCGAAAGCUAGGGUAGCAAACGGG
rnacentral:rRNA from 1 species